rnacentral:rRNA from 1 species
CGCCUGGGAAGUACGGCCGCAAGGCUAAAACCCAAAGGAAUUGACGGGGACCCGCACAAGCAGUGGAGCGCCUGGUUUAAUUCGAUGGUCAGCGAAGAACCUCACCUAGGCUUGAACUGUAGCUGCACGCUCCCAGAAACGGGAGAAUCCUUCGAGGGUGCUACAGAGGUGCUGCAUGGCUGUCGUCAGCUCGUGUCGUGAGAUGUAGGGUUAAGUCCCACAACGAGCGCAACCCCUAUUCAGUGUUAUAAUUACUCUGAAGACUGCCCUGUCCAAACGGGGAGGAAGGAGGGGACGACGUCCAGUCAUCAUGUCCCUUAUGUCUAGGGCUACACAGACGCUACAAUGGCCGGUACAAUGGGUUGCCAAACCGCGAGGUGGAGCCAAUCCCAUCAAAGCCGGUCCCAGUUCGGAUUGCAGUCUGCAACUCGACUGCAUGAAGCUGGAAUUGCUAGUAAUCGCGAAUCAGCACGUCGCGGUGAAUACGUUCUCGGGUCUUGUACACACCGCCCGUCAGGGCACGGGAGUCGCUCUUGCUCGAAGU